rnacentral:lncRNA from 1 species
GCAGCCUGCCACACACACACCCACAGCCCCAAAUCUCUCCCAGAACUGGCAGCUGUUAGGAGAAGACGGGGUGAUUUGCAGAUGGCAGUCCUGGACUUGGAAGUGCAGAUGUGGGGCCCCAGGAACACUCAAGAGGGGCUAGUUGUUGCCGGUGGGAAGCCAAGCCCAGGUGCCUCCGGGUUCAGGUGACUGGAAAAGCCAGGGCAGGACUGGAGUAUUACUUAUCGGAGCUGCGUCUGACACCGGCCCGACACCUCGUAAAAUAGGGAACUGCGCCUCUCUGCCUCACCCCGCGCCGCUCGCCAGGCCACCAAGCCGGGAAAGGCGGAGCGAGGGGAAGCCGAACAAGCGGGAUCGGCCGUCCGCGCGCGGAGGGGUUCCUAGACUGGAGAGCAGAAACUACCCGCGUCCCGGGACUUGGCAAGCCCCGUCGAGCCCCGGGACACAACGGGGAAGGGAGAGACAAAGCCGAGCCGCCUCUCCUGGCCAGCCCGGAACCGAAAGUGGGUCCGUAGAGAGCCCAGAGUCCUGGGGGAACAGAUGGGCAAAGGGCUCUAGGAGGUGAUGGAACUCAGGCCCGAAGGGCAGGCAGCCCACAGGAUACCAAGCCUUAACGAACUACGCCAGAAGAAUGGGCGUAGGGCCCACAGCCCCUCACACAACCCAGGCCAAGCUCCCUCGUACACUCAGACCAGGAGAAGAAACAGACACGCAAUACACAAGCCCCGCUCCCUUGGAGCCUACACUUGGGCGAACACACCACUGCUGUUUGCAGUAUCCCGAGACAGGCCCGGCAGGCGUGAGCUAAGAGGCCUCGGGCCCGAACUUGGGAUUUGAGGCUCUCUCACAUCGCCGGUCCCAGCGGCAGCGCCUGAGGCACAGCCAAGACCAUCCGAGGUCCCCGGGCCGCGCGCAGGUAGCAGACUUCUUCAGAACUGGGGGAGCUAAAGAGAGAGUGGGCUUAGAGCCCAGGCCUCCCUGGAUCCCAGAUCCUCGCCUCCGCCUACAGCCAAGCCCCUCAGCUUUUGCCCAGAGCUGCUGACUUCCUCGCCGCCUCCCUGCGCAAUGGGACCUAGAGAUAAGCCCCAAGCCCGGGUGCUAGUCCAGGCAGAGUCGGGUGCUAGUCCAGGCAGAGUCCAGUGCUAGUCCGCGGCCUCAACAGAGCUGUCGGCUGGGCUCCGGAAGCCCACCCGGAACCUGAUGGAGGCAGCGAAUUCCUCAGAGCAGAGGACACUGCGGAGAGGCUCGAAUCCACUUCCCACAUUGUGCGGGACCGAGCGCGCAGGGCGCUCUCGCGUGGCCUCCUUAGCUCGGGUUCAGCCGAGGCUCUCACGUACACUUCGUUACCCCUUCCCCCCGCCGCAGCUCUGGUCCUUCCUUCCACUGGCUCUCUUCUCUGGCCUAUGGAAACAACGAACUACUUUUCGCCUUUCAAGGCCCGGGUCCCAAGCCACCUCCUCUGUGAAGCCGCCAACACCCUGGUAGCUGCCUCUCAGUGUUUUGCAACUGGCACGGCCCUGUCCCUCGGUCCGCUUCUACUAGCGCUGGGGGUGCUGCGAGUCUUGCCCACUAGACUAGGAGCUCCUUGAGGGCAGGAACCGAAUCUGAUUCGUUUCCAUUUUCCCAGCCCCCCUGCGCGGCCUGGCGCAGAAAAGACGCGCAAUAAACAUUUGCUGAAUUGAAUUGCGUUUUCUCCUUAUUUUAUUAAUCCUUCCCCUUCCUUCUUUCAUUCUUUCU